GACGAACGCUGGCGGCGUGCUUAACACAUGCAAGUCGAGCGGUAAGGCCCUUUCGGGGGUACACGAGCGGCGAACGGGUGAGUAACACGUGGGUGACCUGCCUUUAGCUCUGGGAUAAGCCUGGGAAACUGGGUCUAAUACCGGAUACGACUCCGCGGUGCAUGCUGUGGGGUGGAAAGCCUUGUGCGGCUGGAGAUGGGCCCGCGGCCUAUCAGCUUGUUGGUGGGGUGAUGGCCUACCAAGGCGACGACGGUAGCCGGCCUGAGAGGGCGACCGGCCACACUGGGACUGAGACACGGCCCAGACUCCUACGGGAGGCAGCAGUGGGGAAUCUUGCGCAAUGGGCGAAAGCCUGACGCAGCGACGCCGCGUGAGGGAUGACGGCCU
rnacentral:rRNA from 1 species